AAAUAUUAUUAAGUAUCUCAUAUUUCCUUGUGAAUCUAGUAAUGGAAACCAUAAACUAUUUCAGAAAGUACAAAAUGGGCUACUGUCUGGUGACCAUUAGCAUUUUUAUGUGUCCUUAAUUAUGUAAUAGAGACUAUACCUCUUAAAUGUUAGAAUAACCUGGUAUCUGUUUAUAGAGAACUUAAGCAGCUUUACUAUUAAGAAUAGAAUCAACAGAUAACAUAGUAACAAGAAGAUUCUAAUUAGUUUGAUCAGAUAAUUUAAGUAUGAUGUAUGAGACAAAAGUGUGUGUUAUUAACUGUUGAAUAACCAGCUCCCUGGCAGAGAGCAGGGAGGCUUUUUUUUUUUAGCCUUUCCCAGUUUCCAUGAUGUAAAUAUUCAUCAUGACUCUUUUUCAGAUGCUUAUAUGAAAUCACUGAAAGCAGGAGAGCUUGCUCUUGGAGUCUUGUACAAACUUGAUUUAGCCACACCACUGUGCACGGAGGCUUACAAACUAGACAAAUCAAAUAACCAUAGAAAACUCCAGGAUAAGAUAAAGUGCUAUUUUCAAUAUUAAAAUUUUUGAACUGUAGGUAAACAGAACAUUGAAGGCAGAUUCUUGAGGUCUUUUGCCAAAUUAAUUAAACUCGAGCACCAAUUUUCAUCCUUUUGAGGGUUUCAAAGGAAGGAUAGGAGAUAAACCUAGAAUUCCUACCAUUGUAGGGAGUCUGAAACAAACACAUCUGGACUAAAUCUUAGUUCUAAGAAUGAACAAAAUGAAUUUUUUUUUAAUGCUGUUUUCAUCUCAGCUCUUGCUGAUUUUGGAAACUGACAGAAAAUUGACACAGAAAAAAAUAUUUUUUCCUAGCUAGCUCAACAACAACAACAAAAAUUGGUCUUUAUGUCUGUUUGCAACAUGCAUUUAUACUACUUCUGGGGGGGGGGGGAAAAACUCAAGGUAAUUUUUGGUUUCUUAUAGGAGGAUUGGAGGAUCCUUAGAUGUCUCACCUAAACAAAGCCAGAUUUUUCUCUAAAAGAAUCACUGUUAUCUUAAAGCUGAAGUUAUUUCCAUAUUAAAAUUGAGAGCAGGGAGACAGAGGAGGUGAUUAUGAUCAAGAUUAUGCAUUAUAUACAUAAAUGGACAUGAUAAAAUUACUUGUGCAACCAAUUGUUAUAAAUAAUCAAGAGCAUAUGUUUUUAGAGCAUGAUUAAUAUAGCUCAAUGAAGUGUUACAAUGAGAAAAGAAAAAUAUCAGAUCGUUAGUUUCUAAAAAUAGGUAGCAAAUUAUUGUCUGGGCAGACUUAACAGUUUAAAAGAAAAUGAGUUAAUUGAAAAAUGGCUUCAACUGCAAAAGAGAAAUGGGGUGUAAAAGAGUGAAGAGACAGGAAUGACAGAAUGAGAAAAUGUAGAUUCUAAUGAAUGUGCCAAGAGAGAAAAAUGAUCAGUCAAUACUUGAAAGACUAAUUCCUGGAAACAUUUUAUAAUUGGUAAAAAUUUCUCCAAUCUU